rnacentral:rRNA from 1 species
UACGUAGGGCGCAAGCGUUGUCCGGAUUUAUUGGGCGUAAAGAGCUCGUAGGCGGUCUGUCGCGUCGGAUGUGAAAACCCGGAACUCAACUCCGGGCCUGCAUUCGAUACGGGCAGACUUGAGUACUGCAGGGGAGACUGGAAUUCCUGGUGCAGCGGUGGAAUGCGCAGACAUCAGGAGGAACACCGGUGGCGAAGGCGGGUCUCUGGGCAGAAACUGACGCUGAGGAGCGAAAGCGUGGGGAGCGAACAGG